AGGGAAAGAUGAAAAGCACUUUGGAAAAAGAGUUAAACAGUACGUGAAAUUGCUGAAAGGGAAAGCUUGAAGUCAGUCGGUCUGCCGGAACUCAGCCUUCCUUUUGGUUGGUGCACUUUCCGGUAGACGGGCCAGAUCGUUUUUGACCGUCGGAUAAGGGCUGGGGAAAUGUGGACUUCGGGUGUGUUAUAGUCCUCAGUCGCAUACGGCGGUUGGGAUCGAG
rnacentral:rRNA from 1 species